GAGUUUGAUCCUGGCUCAGAGUGAACGCUGGCGGUGUGCUUAACACAUGCAAGUCGAACGAGAACGGCACUAGCUUGCUAGUAUGUCAGCUAAGUGGCGGACGGGUGAGUAAUGUAUAGUUAAUCUGCCCUUUAGAGAGGAAUAACUACUGGAAACGGUAGCUAAUACCUCAUACUCCUUUUACCUAAAUGGUAAUUGGGAAACGUUUUUUCGCUAAAGGAUGAGACUAUAUGGUAUCAGGUAGUUGGUGGGGUAAGAGCCUACCAAGCCUAUGACGCCUAGCUGGUCUGAGAGGAUGAUCAGCCACACUGGAACUGAGACACGGUCCAGACUCCUACGGGAGGCAGCAGUGGGGAAUAUUGCACAAUGGAGGAAACUCUGAUGCAGCAACACCGCGUGGAGGAUGACACAUUUCGGUGCGUAAACUCCUUUUAUAUGGGAAGAUAAUGACGGUACCAUAUGAAUAAGCACCGGCUAACUCCGUGCCAGCAGCCGCGGUAAUACGGAG
rnacentral:rRNA from 1 species